rnacentral:rRNA from 2 species
CGACUCUCGGCAACGGAUAUCUCGGCUCACGCAUCGAUGAAGAACGUAGCAAAAUGCGAUACUUGGUGUGAAUUGCAGAAUCCCGUGAACCAUCGAGUUUUUGAACGCAAGUUGCGCCCGAAGCCAUCCGGUUGAGGGCACGCCUGCCUGGGCGUCACGCAUCG